GAGCAGUCUCUUUUUCUGCAGCAAAGCGGUCCAUACCUUCUUUCGCGUUCUUGGUUUCGAGUUGGUAUAUGGAUGGGCACCGCAAAGACUCCAUUCUUAUCACGCCGACCUCCUCACGAAGCUUCCCGAUCAUCUCGAUUUUUUGCUGCAGCUGUGAGACCGAAAUGUUAGCUAUCGUUCCGGUAUCAAGCCCAUAGGCUUUCAAAAGCAUCAUUACCUGCUUAGACAAAUCGGUCUGAUCUUGAUAAGCCUUGGCCAGCUCAUCUCGGAGGUCUUUU
rnacentral:lncRNA from 1 species